rnacentral:rRNA from 2 species
CGACUGGGGGAUGGCUCGGCUCGAGAGCCGAAGAAGGUCGUGACAAGCUGCGAUAAGUCGCGGGGAGAGGCAUGAAUCUCAUGGAUCCGCGAAUUGCUGAAUUGGACCUCCUGGCACUCAGUGCCAUUCCUCGAUAUAAAGAAGGAAAGGGAACCCCCCGAACUGAAGCAUCUCAGUAGGGGGAGGAAUAGAAAUCAAAAGAGAUUCCGUUAGUAGUGGCGAAUGAAAACGGAAUAGGACAAACCGAAUCCCCUUGGGAAACCUUGGGGAGAUGUGGGGUAAGGAUCGUCUGUAGCCUAAUUCUAGGAAGUGGAAGUCGUCCUGGGACGGCGCACCAUAGAGGGUGAAAGUCCCGUACACGUACUAGAUAUGGCCAAGUGAUGAAUCCAGAGUAGCGUGCGUUGGAUAUCGCGCGUGAAUGUGGGAGGCAGUUACUUCCAAUCCUAAAUACUACUCGAGACCGAUAGUUGACAAGUAGCGUGAGCGAAAGCUGAAAAGUAUCCUUAGCGGGAUGUGAAAAGAACCUGAAACCAGUCGGGAACAAGCUGAAUAGGCGUGAAAGCGAAGAUAUGAGCAGCGUCUAUUCGUGCGUUUCGAAAAAUGCCCCUGGGAGUUCUGAUCAUUGGCGAGGUUAAGCAGUUGAUCUGCGAAGCCGAAGGGAAACCGAAAGGUCCGCAGCCGCGUAAGCGGUCAGGGACUGGGUGUGCUCGCCCGAAGUCAAUAGUGGGAGACCUGAAGCCUAUCGAUCUAUGCCUGGCCAGAUUGAAGCCCGAGGAAACUUGGGUGGAGGAUCGAACCGUUGCUGAUGUGCAAAUCGCUCGGACGAGCUGGGUAUAGGGGUGAAAGUCCAAUCGAGAUGGGCAAUAGCAGGUUCCGCGCGAGACUACUCGUAGGUAGAUCUCCGUUGAGAUAGAUUGUGAUGUAGAGCACUGAUUGGGUAUUUAGGGGGAGCGAUCCCUCGGUACGCUGUCAAACUCCAAAGUUGCAAUCGUCGUAGACGCGGGGAGUGAGCCACGGUGGGUAAGCUACCGUGACGAAAGGUGAAUAAACCAGCUCAGCGUUAAGGUCCCAAAGUUCCAGUUAAGUGUUAAUGACAAACCGUGUCCGUGGUCGAAGACAACCAGAAGGUGGGCUUAGAGGCAGCCAUCCUUGAAAGAGUUCGUAACAGAUCACUGGUCAAGCUUGCGGGCCGGGAAAAUGGACGGGACUCAAACUGGACACCGAUACGCUGAACCUCCGAAAGGAGAUGUGGUAGCGCGGCGAUGUGCUCGGGCAGAAGCGAGGUCGUGAGAUCUCGUGGACCGUGUACAUAUGAGAAUCUAGGGAAGAGUAGCAGCAUAGAGUGGUGAGAAUCCGCUCCACCGAAGGGGCCAGGGUUCCUCGGCAAUGAUCAUCAGCCGAGGGUUAGCCGGUCCUAAGGACAUCCUUAACCGAGAUGUUCGAAAGGGAAAUGCGUUAAUAUUCGUAUGCCCCUCUACAAUAGUGGUGACGGCUUGGGCUAGUUCUACCGUUCCUGUCGGGACGGCGAAGCGUAAUAAUCGAUUGGAGAACCGUCAUGGUGAGAAGAUCGAGAAGACGUGAGCAAAAGAUGAAUGAGGCCUAGGUCCCAUGAAAAACCGUAGAGGUGACCGUACCGAGAACUGACACAGGUGCCCCUGGGUGAGUAGCCUAAGGUGUGACGGGCAAAGUACCGCGAAGGAACUCGGCAAAAUCGCUCUGUAACUUCGGGAGAAGGAGUGCCAGCUUAGAGAUAAGCUGGUCGCAGUAACAAGGGGACUCCGACUGUUUAAUAAAAACAUAGCCGACUGCUAGUUCGAAAGGAUGUGUAUAGUCGGUGAAUCCUGCUCAGUGCCGGUAUCUGAAAUCGGGUUUCAACCUGAUGAAGGACCGGUAAACAGCGGGGGUAACUAUGACCCUCUUAAGGUAGCGUAAUACCUUGUCGCUUAAUUGGCGACUUGCAUGAAUGGCACAACGAGAGUCCAACUGUCUCCACGAUA